UGGGGAAUAUUGCACAAUGGGCGAAAGCCUGAUGCAGCAACGCCGCGUGAGUGAUGAAGGCCUUCGGGUUGUAAAGCUCUGUCUUCUGGGACGAUAAUGACGGUACCAGAGGAGGAGGCCACGGCUAACUACGUGCCAGCAGCCGCGGUAAUACGUAGGUGGCAAGCGUUGUCCGGAUUUACUGGGCGUAAAGGAUGCGUAGGCGGAUACUUAAGUCAGAUGUGAAAAUCCCGGGCUUAACUUGGGAACUGCAUUUGAAACUGGGUAUCUAGAGUGCGGGAGAAGAAAGUGGAAUUCCUAGUGUAGCGGUGAAAUGCGUAGAGAUUAGGAAGAACACCAGUGGCGAAGGCGACUUUCUGGACCGUAACUGACGCUGAGGCAUGAAAGCGUGGGGAGCAAACA
rnacentral:rRNA from 1 species